AGGGCACUUCUUUCGAAACCUUGCCAGUAUGUAAAGUUGGCCAUGUUGGGUAUCUGUGCCAGGUUUGGUCGAGAUUCAUUAUUGGUUGGGUUCACAGUGUGGGUGAAUAAUAACUUCCAAGAUCCAAAGGCAAUGCUGUCCAAACUUUGCCAGCACUUAGUAUGAAUCAAAUUGUAGGGCAAGUACUUGCACAUUUAGAGAUCUGUGAUUGCAGAGAUUGGGAUGUGCAAGUUCUGAAUUUCAGAUUAAAGCAUUUGCAUUUCAAACCUCCUUUCAAUCUGAUAUGAAUAUUAUUUUUUUCAGGGAGUCCCAGGCCCAGAAGGGUUUCCUGGUCCACAAGGAUUUCCUGGUCCGCCAGUAAGUUGUUUAUGGCACAAAAUUCAUUCUUUUCCCAGCCUUGUAGUUCUUCUGGUACAAUUGGGGGAUUAUAAAGUGAGUGGGUCUUUGUUUGUGGGGCAACUACAUAGUACAUCUACUUCAGGAACAGAUCUGGAUGAAGACUAUAGAAAAAUAAAAUUAUUUCUCAGAUAAUUUAUUUUAGGUUUAGGAAAGUUUGGUUAAUCAUAUAAGUAUCCACCAAAGCAGUGAUGUUAGUGCUAAAAAGGGCAACUAAAUGGUCUACCCCGAGCCAGUUGUAUGAAACAUCCAUUGUUUGACAUGUCUUGGACUCAGGUUGGAGUUUUGUUCUCACAGUGCAGGUUGAUCCAUGCUAUCUUUGGUGUUUCCCUCAUUUUCCUAUUAGGGUGUUGACGGUUUUGGGGAGAAAGGAGAAAAAGGUGUUCCUGGAUUGCCUGGACCCAGGGGAGACAUGGGACCGAAAGGAUUUGAUGGGAGCCCAGGUGGAGAGGGCUCACCAGGUGAGCCAGGAUUUCCAGGAAGAGAUGGAUCACCAGGAGGAAAGGGCGAGUUUGGUGAUAUUGGUCCUCCAGGUCCUACGGUUAUUAUUGAUGAAGAAGGCAUUGUAAUUUCAGGUGUGUUUUUGUUUAACUAUGACAAAAUAUAUCACUUUCUCAUCUAUGGCAGACCUUCUCAUUUGGGUUUUCUUAACAGAGUGUUGAUCAUAGGGUUGCGCUGUAGGACCUAGUGAUGCCUAGAAAGGUGUCCUCCAUUGCGAUUCUAUGGUAUGCUUGUUUAAUGGAGUUGGCUGUCAACUGUGGUUUCUCAUAUCCACUUGAUAUCUUUGAAAGUACCUGCUAAUAGUAACUUGGAAAAGAGACCAGUUUUAAUCAAGGUAAUAUGAACAUGACAAUGGUGAUAUGGUGAGACCAGGGCAAUCCUGACCUCCCUCUCUCUCUCUCUUACUGUUUCAUCCCAGGUCCUCCUGGAGAACCUGGGACUCCGGGAAUCCCUGGUGCUAGAGGCGACGAAGGGUCCGUUGGGAUGGUAGGCCUUCCCGGCCCACCAGGUUAUUCUGCGCCUUUUCCAGGUAAAGCAGUGGGAGGUUUUCAACUGGAGACAUCUUUGCAUGAGAAUGAAAAAAAACAUCCAAACCCUUGGUAUCUGCUUGGGUUUGGUCCCAGGACUCAACAUCCGUGGAUGUUCAGGUUCCGUUAUAUACGAUGCUGUAGUAAACUGGUGUCACUUAUAUCAGGGUUUGCAUUUUUGAUGUUUUUUUAAUUUUCUCAAGACACGGAUAGUAAAAUACGUGGGUGGAAAUUUCAAGGAUAUGUAGGAACACUUGAACUAGAUGGACCUUGAACGUUAUCUGAUGAGUAGUGAAGAUGCCAAUGUGGCUACUACAUUCUGGUUGAACAUGUAGCAACAUGCUAAUUUAUAAAAUUAUCCCUAUGUUCUUUUAAAUUAUAUCCCUGUGAUGAGGAAGUAACUGAGGAUCAAGGUUAUUGGAGUCUGUGUGGUUUUUAUGUUGGAGUAAAAGAUUUGCACUUCCAAGGUUGAAAAGAUAAAGCAUUCACCAUCUGUUGUUCAAUCUUCAUAAAAUCUUGCUGAGUCAACUAAACAUGAACAUCUCAAGUCUCAAAUAAUAUAGUUUGCAAAUAUGGUCAACUUAUUGAUGUAUAUAACUCCCAAAUACAGUCCAAUCGAGGAAGCUAAACAAGCUCAGUCCUGAUUAGUAUUUGGAUGGAAAACUGCCAGUGAAUAGCAGGUGCUGUAGGCUCUGUUUCAGAAAAAAAUGAAGUGGCAAAACCACAUUUGAAUAAUCCUUAUUUAAGAAAAUCCUAUGAAAGUCAUGGGAUCACCAUACAGUUCAUAGCAGUAUGUUUUUCAUUUACAUUUAUAUUCUAUUUAAGUAUUCUUAAGUAUUGGAAUUUCAAGAUAUGUAAUAUGGGAGGGAGCGCAGCAACUGCAUGUAUCUUUAAAUUACUUGUCAACGUAUGGGAUGAAUACUGCCUUUAUGGAUUCUAUUUCAGAAGAAGGAACUUUAAAGUAGUUUUAAUGCACA
rnacentral:lncRNA from 1 species